rnacentral:rRNA from 1 species
UUGCAGGCUGCAACUCGCCUGCAUGAAGUCGGAAUUGCUAGUAAUCGUAGGUCAGCAUACUACGGUGAAUACGUUCCCGGGCCUUGUACACACCGCCCGUCAAACCAUGAGAGUUGGCAACACCCGAAGUCGGUAGUCUAACCGCAAGGAGGACGCUGCCGAAGGUGGGAUUAGCGACUGGGGUGAAGUCGUAACAAGGUAUC